rnacentral:rRNA from 1 species
AUGAGCCAUCAGAUCGAUCUGAAGACGAGCGCCUGCACCAUGGCCGCCGGCGGCGACGACGACGACUGGGUGUACAUCGACGGUGACCAAGAGACGAAGGCUUCGCCGGCGCCGGCGCCGGCUGUCGUCUGUGCCUCCGAUAGCAUCGACGAGUCGGAGCAUUGCGCAUUCGACUUGAAGCUACUUGCCGAUCUCGACUACCUCACAAGGAAAAAGGAUUCCCGGAUCAGGAUGGAUGGGGCGCCUGACGAUGCUGCGACGGAGGUGGUGGCUUCCGCGGACGCCGUCGGUGAUGGCGCAGUGGAUGACGCCGACGCCGUGGAAGACGAAGACGACUGCUCUGACUAUUCCAACGGAGGCCGCCUCGAGAAAGACUACAAGUCGGACCAAGACCUCGAUCAAGUCGACGACGAGUCUGAGCGGCAUGAGGAUGGGGCGUCCGACCUGAGGCUGAGGGGACUGCUCGACAACCUCAAGACCAUCGAAAGUAAACUGCUCGACUGCCAGAGGGAACUGCUCGACUGCCAAAAGUCCAUCCAAGACCACCGCAAAGCUACACGCGACGAGGCCAUCCCCGAACCGGCACCGGCGCCGUCAGCGCACGGCUACAAUGCUCGCCACUCAGCCUACAUAGCGGGACUCUCUGCCUCGUCGUACAGUACAUAUGAUGGUAAAAGCUUUGGCUACGGCUACCGCAGCGGAGGUUACGGCACCAGCUCUGGCUAUGAUGGCAACGGCUACGGCGGAGGCGGAGGUUAUGACGGCGGCCUCGAAGACUAUGACUACGGCGGCAGACGUGGAGGUUACUACCGCGGCAUCUCGGGCUAUGACUACGGCGGCCUAGGUUACUACUACUACCUCUUAGGCUAUGACUACGGCAUGAGCGGCGGAGGAGGUUACGGCAUCGGCUCCGGCUAUCGCUACGGUGGCGGCGGAGGCUACGGCGACAUCUCGGACUAUGGAUAUCGCUACGGCCGCGACAGAUACUAG